AACGAACGCUGGCGGCAGGCCUAACACAUGCAAGUCGAGCGAACCCUUCGGGGUUAGCGGCGGACGGGUUAGUAACGCGUGGGAAUAUACCCUUUGGUACGGAAUAGCCUCGGGAAACUGAGAGUAAUACCGUAUGUGCCCUUCGGGGAAGGAUUAUCGCCAAAGGAUCGGCCCGCGUUGGAUUAGGUAGUUGGUGGGGUAAGUGGCCUACCAAGCCGACGAUCCAUAGCUGGUUGAGAGGAUGAUCAGCCACACGUGGGACUGAGACACCGGCCCAGACUCCUACGGGAGGCAGCAGGUGGGGAAUCUUAGACAAGUGGGGGCAACCCUGAUCUAGCCAUGCCGCGUGAGUGAUGAACGGCCCGUAGGGUUAGUAAAGCUCUUUC
rnacentral:rRNA from 1 species